GAUGAACGCUGGCGGCGUGCCUAAUACAUGCAAGUCGAACGCUGAAGGAGGAGCUUGCUCUUCUGGAUGAGUUGCGAACGGGUGAGUAACGCGUAGGUAACCUGCCUGGUAGCGGGGGAUAACUAUUGGAAACGAUAGCUAAUACCGCAUGACAACAGUUAUUGCAUGAUAACUGUUUAAAAGGGGCAACUGCUCCACUACCAGAUGGACCUGCGUUGUAUUAGCUAGUUGGUGAGGUAACGGCUCACCAAGGCGACGAUACAUAGCCGACCUGAGAGGGUGAUCGGCCACACUGGGACUGAGACACGGCCCAGACUCCUACGGGAGGCAGCAGUAGGGAAUCUUCGGCAAUGGACGGAAGCCUGACCGAGCAACGCCGCGUGAGUGAAGAAGGUCUUCGGAUCGUAAAGCUCUGUUGUAAGAGAAGAACGAGUGUGAGAGUGGAAAGUUCACACUGUGACGGUAUCUUACAAGAAAGGGACGGCUAACUACGU
rnacentral:rRNA from 1 species